UUCUCCUGUUUGCAUUUAGAACAAGAUGUAGAACUCUCAGCUCCUCCAAAGCCACGCCUGCCUGGAUGCUGCCAUGCUUCCUGCCUUAAUGGACUGAACCUCUGAACCUGUUUUUACUGAUGUUUCUCUGAGUCACAGUUUCAUGUGUCUUGAGCUUACUACGUAGCUGAAGAUGGCCUUGAACUUGGAUCCUUCUGUGUCCCCCCUCAAGUGGUGGGAUCGCAAGAGUACACCACAAGGCUUGAAUUACUAAGCGAACACUCUCCACACUGAGCUACAUCCCAGCACAUCAGCUGCUGCUUAAUUGACCAUCUGCCUGUUUCAAGUGUUCCUUCAGGUGUGGAGGCCACCCCUAGACCUUAGAGCAGGGUAAUUCUCAACACU
rnacentral:lncRNA from 1 species